rnacentral:rRNA from 1 species
AUUGAACGCUGGCGGCAGGCCUAACACAUGCAAGUCGAACGAGUGGCGGACGGGUGAGUAAUGUCUGGGAAACUGCCUGAUGGACGGGGAUAAAUACUGGAAACGGUAGCUAAUACCGCAUACCAUCGGAUGUGCCCAGAUGGGAUUAGCUAGUAGGUGGGGUAACGGAUCACCUAGGCGACGAUCCCUAGCUGGUCUGAGAGGAUGACCAGCCACACGGGAACUGAGACACGGUCCAGACUCCUACGGGAGGCAGCAGUGGGGAAUAUUGCACAAUGGGCGCAAGCCUGAUGCAGCCAUGCCGCGUGUAUGAAGAAGGUCUUCGGGUUGUAAAGUACUUUCAGCGGGGAGGCGUUACCCGCAGAAGAAGCACCGGCGAACUCCGUGCCAGCAGCCGCGGUAAUUC